GAUGAACGCUGGCGGCGUGCCUAAUACAUGCAAGUCGAGCGAACAGACGAGGAGCUUGCUCCUCUGACGUUAGCGGCGGACGGGUGAGUAACACGUGGAUAACCUACCUAUAAGACUGGGAUAACUUCGGGAAACCGGAGCUAAUACCGGAUAAUAUAUUGAACCGCAUGGUUCAAUAGUGAAAGACGGUUUUGCUGUCACUUAUAGAUGGAUCCGCGCCGCAUUAGCUAGUUGGUAAGGUAACGGCUUACCAAGGCGACGCUGCGUAGCCGAACUGAGAGGGUGAUCGGCCACACUGGAACUGAGACACGGUCCAGGCUCCUACGGGAGGCAGCAGUAGGGAAUCUUCCGCAAUGGGCGAAAGCCUGACGGAGCAACGCCGCGUGAGUGAUGAAGGUCUUCGGAUCGUAAAACUCUGUUAUUAGGGAAGAACAAAUGUGUAAGUAACUAUGCACGUCUUGACGGUACCUAAUCAGAAAGCCACGGCUAACUACGUG
rnacentral:rRNA from 1 species